GGCCACCAGUCUGACAGCCACCUGAAGGCAGAGGGAGCCUUAAAUCUGCCUCCAGCCGUGAAGCAGGCAAACAAGCCCCACGCUCAGCAGAGCCCACGCUCCACUGGUCCCAUGUGACAGAGCAUGUGACUGGGCUUUUCUAGUCUGUCUCUAAGGUACUGAAUGGCCCGUCACACUGGAUGAACAGCGGGAAGCGGUGAGAAAGAUUCACGGUGCUGCCCGGAGCCUCCGAAAACCCUGAUCCCUUUGCUGGACUGCUGCUUGCCCCCCUCUGGACGGGGAGCACCCAUCACCCUUCAGACCCCUGUGUGGCGUCCUUGAGGACUGAGGUCCCGUCACCUACACAGCUUUCCUUCACGACGCUGGUCAAAGCCACUGAAAGACGGGCCGGCUCUCACGAAGGGGCAGUCCCUCCACGCCUGAGCCCUGGCCUCUGGCCUCUCUGAGCUCCGGCUUUCUUGUGAGUGUCACGGGACUCCUAACGCCCUUCGGUGAUGAGCUGUUCUGAGAGGGAGAGGCGACAAUGCGUGCAAAGCACCGCCGAGCACGGCGCCGGCCUCAUACCAUCCGCAUGAUGAACAGCUGACAGCGGGGGGCGCACGGUUUCCAGGUCAGGUGGUCCUUGUCACCAGCCCCAGCCUUGCUGUGCAUUAACCACUCGGUUCACU